CUCGUGUCAAAAGCUAGUUCCAGCUCGGACCUUAAGUUGGAGGCAGGAGGCGCGGCCUCCAGCAGCGCGCCCACAGCGCCCUCUUGAGGCUCUGGAAGGUAUCAUAGAACAGAAGGAUGCAGGAGGGGACCGAGGUUCUAAGGAAGGGAUAUUGGGGAAGGGGCGUUGGAGCAGGCGAGCUGCAGAUCUCUUGAGGCUCCGAGGUCACCCGAAUGCUGUGUCCACAGGACUCCGGGUCCUGGGCGUCGUCAACAGCGGCUGGGUUGACGGGACCCACGCGGAUCCAGCUCACAUGGCGCAAGACUCUCAACGCCUCCUCCCUCCCCUCUGCGUUCGCGCGACGAGUUCCGCAUCUUUAUCACCGCUCCCCCUGGGCUAUGUGUGGCGGCCUAGACCUCCGGGUGUCCCCAGAUGGAGCAGGUGCUUGGAUGCCGCGCCGGGUUGGGGCAGGAUGUUCGGAUGAGCCCUAUGACUUUGGCGGCCUCAGUUUCCCCAGGAUGACUGCCCUCGUGCGUGGUCAGCCAAGAGGAGCGGGUCAGAGUAUCCACCACGCACCGUGAGCGCCCAGAGGAGUGCAUCCGCCCAAGUCCCACCUCCUAAGACUCCAGACUGUCCCUACCUCUCAGCACGUCUCCGCUCUGAUCUUGAUUUUCCUGGAGGUCGACCCAGGUGAUGCCUAUCUUCCAGGCCCUGACUCCUGCACUCCACCCUUUGGUAUGAGGAAGGCACAAGGCCAUCGGGAGCCUCUUGCUGCUCAAGGCAUCUUCUGGUCCACAGAGACCUGAUUCCCAGCCUCUACUUUUCCUUUUCUCGAAGCUUGGAUACCCAGAAUACCAGCUUGCCCAUGAAGCUCAGACUCCCAAAGAGGACGAAUUGAACUUCUCUGGACUCUACGUUCCCUCACCCCUACGUACCCCCUACGUCCUCCAUCCCCUUCCCUGUGCCCUGCUGAACCUAAAUCACCUGUUUUCUACACUCACCUCCUAAGCUCGCUGGGCUCCUCUACAGUAUAGCUUUGGCAUACUUCUCUGCCGGGCGUCCAGUGUACUGAGGCCAGCAGGGACCCGAAUUGGCACCCCAGGCCCUGACUUGGCCAUUCUACCGGAACUUCCUUCUUGCGAUGCCCUGGGCCCCCGCUUAACACUUGGCUCCAAUAGCAGGACGCUGGGUUUCCGUGCCUCUUCCUCAGCUAGGCCUCUUAAAACUGCAUCUCCAUCCUUCUCCCCAAUUUAGCUCUUGCCUUUCUCCUGAUUUCCCAGGUCCAGAAAGUCUAAACGUUUGUAGCCAGAAAAGACCAGAGAAGCUGGAAAUGCGGAUGCAGAGGCUCAGUUGGGUCCUGCGCCCGGGGAUGGAGGUCGGGGGGAGGUGCCCAGGCCCAAUGGUAGGUUCUCAAAGCUCUGGAGGACUUUAGUGGACUU
rnacentral:lncRNA from 1 species